AUUGAACGCUGGCGGCAGGCUUAACACAUGCAAGUCGAGCGAGCGGCGGACGGGUGAGUAAUGUCUGGGAAACUGCCUGAUGGAGGGGGAUAACUACUGGAAACGGUAGCUAAUACCGCAUACCAUCGGAUGUGCCCAGAUGGGAUUAGCUAGUAGGUGGGGUAAAGGCUCACCUAGGCGACGAUCCCUAGCUGGUCUGAGAGGAUGACCAGCCACACUGGGACUGAGACACGGCCCAGACUCCUACGGGAGGCAGCAGUGGGGAAUAUUGGACAAUGGGCGCAAGCCUGAUGCAGCCAUGCCGCGUGUGUGAAGAAGGCCUUCGGGUUGUAAAGCACUUUCAGCGGGGAGGCGGUACCCGCAGAAGAAGCACCGGCUAACUACGUGCCAGCAGCCGCGGUAAUAC
rnacentral:rRNA from 1 species